CCAAAUGGAUUUAAAUGCUAAUAACCCUCUUGGAAAUGUGAUAGCGGGGAGGAGAUAGAUGAUCUUGAGCAAGAUGAGGUUCCUCUAGCACCUCAAGGGCUACGGAGAGGCCGGAAUUCCAAUGCAAAUGCUAUUUCAAAUGAUAAUAUUCCAAAUCCUCCUCCGUCACCUCCAAGAGUGGCUCCUAGAAUAUUUUUGAAUCAAGGUUAUGCGAG
rnacentral:lncRNA from 1 species